rnacentral:rRNA from 1 species
GAUGAACGCUAGCGGCAUGCUUUACACAUGCAAGUCGAACGGUAACAGGCCGCAAGGUGCUGACGAGUGGCGAACGGGUGAGUAAUGCAUCGGAACGUGCCCAGUCGUGGGGGAUAACGCAGCGAAAGCUGUGCUAAUACCGCAUACGAUCUAUGGAUGAAAGCGGGGGACCGUAAGGCCUCGCGCGAUUGGAGCGGCCGAUGUAGGAUUAGGUAGUUGGUGGGGUAAAGGCCCACCAAGCCGACGAUCUGUAGCUGGUCUGAGAGGACGACCAGCCACACCGGGAGUGAGACACGGCCCAGACUCCUACGGGAGGCAGCAGUGGGGAAUUUUGGACAAUGGGCGAAAGCCUGAUCCAGCAAUGCCGCGUGCAGGAAGAAGGCCUUCGGGUUGUAAACUGCUUUUGUACGGAACGAAACGGUCUGGGUUAAUACCCUGGGCUAAUGACGGUACCGUAAGAAUAAGCACCGGCUAACUACGUGCCAGCAGCCGCGGUAAGAC